GGUCACCUAACCCCCCGAAACCUCCAGCUUCUCUUUCAGAUAAGCAGUGGGAAAAGGUGGGCUGAACUUGAUUACCGUAAUAGCUACACGGCAGGCAUUGUUCUAAGCACCGCUUACAACUACUCAUUCUGUUCUUACGCUUGCGCUCUGAGGUUUGCAGAUCGAGGCAAGAUCCUGCUACUGGUGUGUGUGAAACGGUAAAUCAUCCCAAUCCGCAUUUCUACUCCCUAAGCUAAAACCAAGGCAGCCUCACAAAAGGGAACCAAAUGAAAAGAGAUGGAGUGAUUCAGACCAAAGACCACAGCGAGUUAGGAAUCAAACAGCACCUGGUAUCCUCGCUAGGAUUACAACCCCAGCAGAACAUCUGUGUGGAGGCGGGGUUUGCGUUAAAAAAAAAAAAAAAAAAAAAAAAAGAGAAACUGGUUGUUGAA